rnacentral:rRNA from 1 species
GACGAACGCUGGCGGCGUGCUUAACACAUGCAAGUCGAACGGAAAGGCCCUGCUUUUGUGGGGUGCUCGAGUGGCGAACGGGUGAGUAACACGUGAGUAACCUGCCCUUGACUUUGGGAUGACUUCAGGAAACUGGGGCUAAUACCGUAUAGGAGCUCCUGCUGCAUGGUGGGGGUUGGAAAGUUUCGGCGGUUGGGGAUGGACUCGCGGCUUAUCAGCUUGUUGGUGGGGUAGUGGCUUACCAAGGCUUUGACGGGUAGCCGGCCUGAGAGGGUGACCGGCCACAUUGGGACUGAGAUACGGCCCAGACUCCUACGGGAGGCAGCAGUGGGGAAUAUUGCACAAUGGGCGGAAGCCUGAUGCAGCAACGCCGCGUGCGGGAUGACGGCCUUCGGGUUGUAAACCGCUUUCGCCUGUGACGAAGCGUGAGUGACGGUAAUGGGUAAAGAAGCACCGGCUAACUACGUG